rnacentral:piRNA from 1 species
UCUUGAACUCCUGGGCUUGAGCAAUCCCCUCA